rnacentral:rRNA from 1 species
UCCUGCAGGCAUAUCAUCCUGCAUGUGCCUGAUCUUGGAAGCUAAGCAGGGAUGGGUCUGGUUAUUACUUGGAUGGGAGACUGCCUGGGAAUGCUGGGUGCUGUAGGCA